rnacentral:lncRNA from 1 species
UUUCAUUAGGAGAUUGAUUAAAUAUAUGUUUCACACACUGCAGGAUCAAGUAUAAUACAAACGAUUUAUGUUUAAUUUAGUAAUUUGAAAAUAUAAAGAUACUAUUAAAGCCAAUGUCCAACUGGGACUGUGGGUUCAGGAUAUACUAAUAGAAUCUUAAUUUGACAAAAUUCUAACACACUUAGUAACUGUUCUUUCUAUAAACUCACAGAUAGAGGUGAGAUUUCAUUUAUUCUACCUUUCAAUGGUAUAAAUUUCUUGAGGCUUUCUUUGUUAUGGUCCCAUAAUUCUCCUUUAGAAAAAGAUAGAUUCUGUAUUAUUUCUUUUAUAAAGAUCAUCAUGGAAUCAAUAAGUAACAUACUAAAAUCAUUCUUCGCAUCAGCAGGCCCCCUUUCUGUUCUCUUACCCUGACAGCCUUUGCUGUACAACACCAUCGGAGGUUGUUACUAAACCUUCAGCAUCAGGUUUCCCUAGCAACAGAAAGCCUUUUUCUUUCUCCUACUGUCUGUAUCUGAGUUUAAAAAAAAAAAAAAAAAAAUAAUAAUAAUAAUCUCUCAAAACACUAGAAAGCAUUCAGACUGAGACAUAUGAAGUUAGCAAUGAAAAUUGUGAGUUACAAAUAAAAUAGGGAAUAAUUAAAUUGUAGAGAAGUAUUUUGUUUAUGGAUUUACACAAAGCUCCAGAUGGUGAUUUGCUAUAUUCAUCUCCAGAUUAGCUAAAUAAAGGCCAGGCCUUAUGUCAGCCUGCACAUGGCUUUAAUGACUUUACCUUUAUACUGCAAAAGGUUAAGGCUUUUAGUGCUGUGUUUCAGAAGCCACAUAUAAAGGAAGCUUUAUUGGAUUAGGCUUCUGAGAAACAAAGUGAUACAUGCUAGCAGACAUUAACCGUAAUCAGAAGCCUCCUAGGGUUGCAAGCUUCCUUGGCUAAUGGUUGGGCUUUGUGUCUCACUCCUCUCUUACACCUGGGGAGUCAAGUCUGGAUCCUCUGCUCCAUAUUUAUUUAGCAAAUAAAAUACUGAUCUCAAAUCUCAAACAGAAAGGGAACCUGUGUACUUCAGGUAAGGAUAAGAGUCCUGAGGAAAAAAAUAGGUUCUGUGUUUUUAUAAUCUUGCCUCAUUCCCUGCUUUCCAUGGCAAUUUUUGCUUCCAUAUUCAGAUUCUUUCACCAUUCAUUAACAUCCUACUCUAGAGAAUUUCAGGUUUUAUCGUUUUUGACUCUACUAAAUGGUUCCUACCUCUUAAACUCACUUUAGAUCCACUAAAAGUGGGCUGAAAUAUCUCAAUUUUUAUAGUUACAAUUCUAUGGGUUUUCACAUUCUUGGUGUUACUUUGUCAUAACAUUAUUGGGGCCUUGGGAAGAGAAAGAGAUGCAUUUAAUAAUGGAUUAUUUAAAUGAAUCUCUUUCUCUUUCAAGAUGAAAGGGUUGACUUUUUUUUUUUAGUUAAUAGAUAGACAUGCAUAGGUUUUUAUAUCUUCUAGAAAUGACCCUUUAUUACUUCCCUAAUAACUUUUCUUAUUCUUUCCGACUGGAAAAUUCUUCCUGAAACUUGACUUAAUAGAGUUGUAUUCCCUUCCUUUCUCUACUCCUGCUUCUACUGACAACUAGUUUUAAAUGUAGUAUUUUCUCAAAUUGAUAUUAUAUUAAUCAUGCAUUCUCAGCUUUUUUGUUCUCUGUAUUUUAUUAUGAGCUUAUUUACUUUUUCUCUUAGAUAUGACAACUAAGAGGAUAUUGUUCUGAAGUAGCUUGAUAUCUGCUUGUUCUAGUAUCCUGCCAAUCUCCAUUUCAAUCAUGUUACUAUUUGUUUUGUCUGAACUUUGUUCUACAGAGUGGCUAGGAGGAUAUAGAGCAUGGUAAUUAAGAGGGUAUUCUGUGACUUCGCAAAGUUAAAGUUAAAAUCUUGGCAAUACUACUGUCUUGAGUUCCUUAGAGUGUUGCUUUUCCAUCCGGAAACCUCUGUGACCAGUGGCAUGUUUGCCUGAGUUUUGCUUGGGCCCACUGGGCUCAUUCUGCCCAGUCAGCCUGGCAGGCUGUGCUUGGCUUGCGCUACUGGCUAGGAUCCCACGCUGACCAAGGGUAAGCCAGGCACGGUGUGGCAAGGGGUAUGUGAGAAAGUGAGCGUGGGGUCCACACACUGUGCACAACCAGGCAUGCUGGCUGCUGCAGCAGCGUGGACAGCUCCAGUCACCGGCACAAGUGCCAGAUCUGUGUAAGGCUGUGGCUGGAUCAGAUGUACCACAAGCAGCUUCCA